GCUGGGCAUGGUAGUGCAUGCCUGUAGUCCCAGCUAUUGGGGAGGCUGAGGUAGGAGGGUCACUUGAGCCUGGGAGGCAGAGGCUGCAGUGAGCCAUGACUGCACCACUGCACUCCAGCCUAGGCAACAUAGUGAGACCCUAUUUCAA
rnacentral:sRNA from 1 species